CAAAUGCUGUAAGCUCACCUCCAACUCAGCUCAGAUUCAGAGGAAAGGAUCUUUGCUUUGCUAGAGUCCAACCAGACCAGAAAAACAUAAAGAGAUACAUCAACACAGGCAGGCACCAUCACAAGGACAGUCCAUAGCUCCAUCAAGCCAGAAGUCUCUGGAGACUGUGCAUGUGAUGACUCUAAUGGAAUUCAUCAUCACUGCUAACUAAACCUCUGAAGCUGUAGUCUGCAAUCAAGAGAGGAUAAAGUGGCUCUUGCUGAAGUGAAGACCCCCAUCAUCUAUAUUCUCUGAAUGCUUCGUCAGGCAGAGACACAAGACUAUAUAACCAAUGAGCACUUUUUUUAGUCUAAUAGUUUUCCAGAUUUAUUCUCUGUCCAAUAAUAUGUGGCCUUAAGGGUCUUGGUAGUUCUCAGAAUUAACUGUGUAUGUGACUGACUAGAGGCAAUUUCAGUAGUAAAUUCCCCUGGCUUUAAUGCAGGAAUUGCUAAUUCAGUGAGCCUGGAGAAAAAACCGUGUUAUUCACAUAAUGUUCUCAAAAAGUAUAACACAGAGAAAAAACUUCACAGAAUUACAUGUGUAUAGUUCAUGUAACUAUCACCAAGUGUACACACUCACUCGAUACUUUUUGUUUUAUAUUUUGGAAAGAUUUGUCUAUCUCAAGAUUCUCCUUUUUUCAGAAUUGAUUCUCUGUGAUUCUGAAGCAUGUGCAGAGCAAGAGGCUCCACUUUUGAGUAUGUGAAAGUUAUUAUAUAAUGUCAAAUAUCAGAAAAAAUGUUUCAGAUCUGAGUUGAUGACAGUGAGGUUUGGUCCAGCACUAAGAAUGUCUUACAUAAAGCAUUAAGUUAAAAGGGAGGGAUUUAAGAAUUAAAGUCUGAUAUCAAUGCCUGUUAAGAAUGGAUGGGGUUGAUGUAGAGUUAGUGAAGAGUGAGUAAAGUCACAUUGCCAUUUCAAGGUCAAAAUCUGGGGAAGCAGACUCGAGCAGGUUUUAAGUUUCUGAUUCAGAGCUGCAAGGGGAUAGGGAUAACGGAAUAGAAUGCUAGAUUGAGUAGAGACUGGAGAAUUAAGGUGUAGGCCAUACUAUGGGGCGGUAUUCUCCACUUUGCCAUUUGAUCAUGAUAUACUCCUUUUAUUUCCCCUCCCUCCUUGCUUUAAUGAAGUGUUUUAAACCCCCUGCUAACCUGCAGUCUUACCACAUUUUAGAAAGCUGUCCUGUUGUUAUAUUUAGGGGUUUUUUUU